CAAGUCGAACGGCAGCACGGGUGCUUGCACCUGGUGGCGAGUGGCGAACGGGUGAGUAAUACAUCGGAACAUGUCCUGUAGUGGGGGAUAGCCCGGCGAAAGCCGGAUUAAUACCGCAUACGAUCUACGGAUGAAAGCGGGGGACCUUCGGGCCUCGCGCUAUAGGGUUGGCCGAUGGCUGAUUAGCUAGUUGGUGGGGUAAAGGCCUACCAAGGCGACGAUCAGUAGCUGGUCUGAGAGGACGACCAGCCACACUGGGACUGAGACACGGCCCAGACUCCUACGGGAGGCAGCAGUGGGGAAUUUUGGACAAUGGGCGAAAGCCUGAUCCAGCAAUGCCGCGUGUGUGAAGAAGGCCUUCGGGUUGUAAAGCACUUUUGUCCGGAAAGAAAUCCUUGGUUCUAAUAUAGCCGGGGGAUGACGGUACCGGAAGAAUAAGCACCGGCUAACUACGUGCCAGCAGCCGCGGUAAUACGUAGGGUGCGAGCGUUAAUCGGAAUUACUGGGCGUAAAGCGUGCGCAGGCGGUUUGCUAAGACCGAUGUGAAAUCCCCGGGCUCAACCUGGGAACUGCAUUGGUGACUGGCAGGCUAGAGUAUGGCAGAGGGGGGUAGAAUUCCACGUGUAGCAGUGAAAUGCGU
rnacentral:rRNA from 1 species